GUACUCUCAAGCCUUGCUUGGUGUUGGGUGCUUGUCUUGCCUUUGCGUGUAGACUCGCCUCAAAACAAUUGGCAGCCGGCGUAUUGAUUUCGGAGCGCAGUACAUCUCGCGCUUUGCACUCAUAACGACGACGUCCAAAAGUACAUUUUUACAC
rnacentral:misc_RNA from 1 species